CUGAUUCGGUGGCCAGCGAUCAGCGAGCAAAAGGCGACUGUGACUUGAAGGUUGCCCCCUGCUGGCAGCCACCAAACAAACCAAGCAGUCACCCGAAAUAAUCUUCAGAAAGCCCUGUGAAACGUACGGAUGACAUGGUCCUGUUGGCUUCCUCAGUCUGUGAUUUGGAAUGGUUUACAACUGAGUGUGAAGUGGCAGGGAUGAGGAGCAGCACCUCCAAAUAUGAAGCCAUGAUCUACUGUAGUAGAAAGGUGGACUGCACUCUUCAGGUAGGAGCACCGUGAUGUUCCAACAAUGAUGGAUGGAUUAAAAGCCA